UUUGAGGUGGCGGCACGAAAAUGUUAAAUGGGUUGGGCAGUAAAUUAUUAGUAAAUUAUUAGUAUCAGCUUUGAAAAUAUAAAACAAGCAUAAAUUUUAAAAAAAAAAUAAAACAGUCAAACACAAUAGCAAAUACAACUCACUCGGUCAAAAAAGAAAACAAACAAAUAAAUAAUGCAUUAAUUAAUUUGAUUCCCCACGUCUAGAAAUAGCAAAAUGAAAGA
rnacentral:lncRNA from 1 species